ensembl:lncRNA
AGAGAACAAAGCUUGUAUCAACGUGAAUCACAAAGUUGAUAAACUGGAAUGGUUCCUCUCAGAGCUGUCUUCUUGUGUGGAGCAAAUAUUUAUCCGCAUUGUUUCAGAAGGCAGAUUUGUGCAAGUCGGAGGUCAGGCCUGUCCUUACAAGCGGCUUGUGAAGGCACACCGUGCUUGGAGGGAGCUUCUGUGCCUGGUGCUGGUGUGUUGGAAGGAAACGCCUGCUGUGCGUGAGCUCUGAGUUGCACGGGUGCAGAAAAAAUAAGUAUUUUUCCUCGUUGGCUCGAAGGGACCGAAGCCAAACGUGUCUGCUGUGCCCCCCAGAUCCUGCGCCGCGGCAGGAAACUUGGUUUUCUCCUCCAUAUGAAUCUGCUCGAGAUGAUCAGAAGCUGAGAUUGUGUGCCAAACUCGCCUCGCAUUUUAAUGAGGAGUUUCUGGCCUGGUCGAUAAUGAGGGCAGAGCAGGUGCGGUGGGAGCUGGGUGUUCCCCAGCAGCAGAACCAUGGGGCUUUUGUGAGCCUCCCUGGGCAGAGCCAAGCGAGGGGCGGUGGGAUGCCCUGGCACCGGCGCUGCCUGCUGGUAAUUGGGAAAAAAUGUGACUUCAGAGUGUGGUGUGGAGGUGUUGAAGGGUAAUUGGGCUUCUCGGUGCCUGCAGCGAGCCCCGCAAGGCGGAGGACGUGCUGAAAUGCUGUGCUGCUCUUUGGGUUUUUUGGGAUGAGGGGUGAGUGCGAUUUCUGAGGCUUCUACCAAACGUUAAAAGGAGGAAAUGAGGCUGAUGGUGAUCCUCCUGCCCUGCUCACUGGCAGGUCGGCAAGGAUUAGGGGGAGAGAAGAGCUUUGGGGUGGCGAGUCUUGUGAUGAACGUGAGCAGAGCUCCCUCCUGCUGUUCGUUUGCAGCCUGCAGUGCUUUGCAGGGCCUGUCCUGUCCCAUUGCUUUACAGGUGACCCUUUGCCAGAGGGCUCGGUUGCUUGCCGUGACAUCCAUGUAAAGCCAUGAGGUGUUGGAGCAGGGCAUGCUGAGUGCCUUGGGUUUGCCCACGAGGGCAACCAGCUGAGUGUGUGCACUUACCCAGGUCAGUGGGGGAGGGGUUGAACCAGAGCAGACCCCAUGCAACCCCUGAAAGGACAGGGAUGUGCUGUGUUUGUGCUGAAGCUGCAGCGCUCUGUCUGUCUUUGUUUCCAGAGCCGUGCAAUAGGAAGCCUUGGGUGAUGUUGGUGGGUAGGUUCUUCUCUUCGUUUUUACUGUCUGAGGGAAAGGGUUGUUUUAAUGGGUAAAAUAGGAGUCAAGCUAAAUGCUGUUUCUUCCCUAAGCAACAGAAUAAUUAAUGUAAUGUUCUCCAUGUUUUUGCUUAACGUCUUCCUAAUAAUGUAGCUGCAAGUGACAGAUGGGCAUCUCGCCUCCGAGUGCUUUGCUGUUGGGAAUAUGCUGUUGCUUUGCUGAUGCCUGAUGCUUUGCUGGAAUGCGUCCUGUAUCUGUGCUUCCUUUGGCUUCUGACCAGUGCUCCUGUUCAUGCAGCUUCAAGCUCCAAAAAGUCGUUGGUUGGCUUUGGAGGUUCCCUUGCUGAAGGACAGCCCGGCCGUGAAUCACCGCAGCCCUCGAGUUAGCUGAGAUGGGACCGAAUCUUUAAUUUUCAGGAUUACAUUCCUUAGCAUUCCCUCAUCUGUAAACAGGAAAAUCUUUAGCAUAUGUGGUAAGUAAUUAGGGCGAAUGGUGAGGAGGCAUUGAUGGUAUGUUUUCAGUGCUGGCCAACGUGUACUUCCAUUGCAAGUCCCACGUCUUCCAUUGGGAAACAAGGCUAAGGGGUUCUUUGACCUCACAUCCUUGUCCUAGAGCUGUUACAGAGCAUUUCCCUGCUCCCUGGGACAGGCGGGUGCUCCUUUUGUUCCUCUGCGCCGUGAAGAUUCCAGCUGGGUUUCUCCUUCUCCAUCAUGAGAUGGCCACGCUCAGUCCAGCUCAGCUCCCGGGCAGCAUAGGACCACGUUGGCUGUGGGAUGCCACAUCCCAGCACGGAGCACAUGGCAUCAGGAUGCUGCCUGGUGUGCCAGCCCCAUCUGCACCUCGCUGACCCACCGGUGGGGCCGAAGGGACGGGAAUGCUCUGCCACAUGGGAGUUUCCCAUUUGGAAAAGUCUCAGGAAGCAUGGAGGAAAUCACAUGGCUUGGGAGCGCUUACCUCACUGCUCUGUCUCAUCCAACGCAGCAGCUUUCAUCAAAGCAUGCAGGACCUGAACAAUGCAGUGCCAGCUGGCUUAUAAAUAAACGUGCUUCCGUUUCCACGCCGGCACCAGGAUAGCUUUAAUACCACAUGAGGGGAAAGGAAGAGCGUCACGUUGUCGGCUUGUGACCUUUGAGCUCAAACCAUCGGGCUGUAAUGGAUAACUCCUCCACAUCUCCUUCUGAGCACAACCCAGAAAUGAUCACCUCUGUGGGCAGCUCCGUGUGGUUUUCACACUCAUUCCUCGUUCUGCCAACCCGCUGAGCUUGGCUGGCAAACAGAUGGUGAUGGAGGACGUCCAGAGUUGGCUGUCCCCUCUUCUCCUCCCUUCAGCCCCAGUGAGACACUCCCGUGAGCAUUGGGAAUUCCCAUUGGUAUUUCAAGCUGGAGCAUUUUUGGGCUUCCUGCAGUGACUGCUGAUGGGUUGGGAAGGAAAACGCCCAGUAUCGCUGGGCUCGCACCGCCGGCUCCGUCUGCAGGGCUGGGAUAAUGCAAGAGUCCUUAAUGUGCCCAUGGCUGAAUCAUGGGACGUCAGUGCCUGAGUCACUGCAGAUGAAUGCGGUGUUUCACGUCGGUGCGAACUGAAAUGUGAACAACAGUGUCUCUAUUAGAGCAGCUAAUAAUACUUGUGCUCAUUAUGGGUUUCAUUCGAUUUUUAAAGUGAAACAAUCAGGAAGAGUUCCUCCUGCAGUGUGUAUGGACUGAGCGGGAGUGCUGCGGUGCUGGGUCUUAAUGGGAUGCUGCUCUGAGUGGAGAGGAAAGGAAGCUUUGGAGGGGAGCACCUAUGUGACACGUCCUUGCUCCAAGUGUGGCUCUUCUUUCACCUGGAUGUGCUUGGCUGGGGGCUGAGCUGUGCAGCCCUGGCGUGGUUCUGUCUGUGGGCAGCCCCAGAUUUGUACCAUGCCAUACGUGGGGGAGCAGUGGGCUGCUCCCAUGCUGUGCUGAGGCAGGUGUCCACGUUAAAGCUGACGUUGCUUUUGGGUCAGAUUUCUGCUGUUCUGUGCGCUGCUGUCCUCCUCCUGGUGUUCCUCCCCCUGAAAGAAGAGCUGCAGCUGCUAUUCCUCGAGUGUCUGAAGCCCAAACCGAAGCUGCCUGUCUGCAGAUCUUUGCUCCUCGAGCAGCACAGCUCUGCAAGCAUCUGUGAGCAACGUUGCUGAAGUCUCGUUGAUGGUUCACGAGACCUCAUCAGCGAUGCAGGGACGUGGCAGUGGUUUGCUGCCCGCUUUUGUACACUCACAGCCCUGAGAGUCACUGAAGCGCUGAAUCUCUGUGGCCGUGCCAUCUCAUGGGCUGCCCCACUGCAAAUGGAAACACAGUGGUUUAAACCUUCCAUUGAAUCCUAAAGGUGUUUUACUGAUGUAGAAGCAAGGGUUGGGUGUUGAUAUGCUGCUGUGCUUUAGUGAGCUGCCGUGUGUCAGCUUUGUGCACUCUUUGGUCACUACAAACGCAGCAUACAAUGCACUGAUGCCCUCUGGAAGUUGGGCAGCUACAGGGUGAGUGUACUGCUCUGCAGCAGGGAGGUUCUUCCCACCUCCUCCCAGGGUGUGCAGCUGAUGCACAGUUUGGAGAAGGCAUCCAGCCUCCGAUCUGUGAGCUUUAUGGACCUUCACCAGCUGGCUGUGGAUUUAAAUGGCCUUAAGAUGGCUUUUUUCCUUUGUGAGCCUUGAAACGAGGUGGAGAGCGCGUGCGAGUCCGUCUGUCCUCAUCGGGCUGCUGCGACAGGCCAGGAACGCGAGCUGCUAUCUGAGCACAGAGAUGGGGCCGGAGGUGGGUGGGUGAGAAGAGCAGCCGUGCUGGGAACGUCGCUUCAGCUCCGCACGGUGGAGGCGGUGGAAUUUGCUGGUCCGCCCACCCGGUGUGCGCUGAUCCGUCGCUCCUCCACCUGCUGCCGCUGCCCCGCUGCUGGCGGAGGACUGAAGGCGCCGGUGUUGCUCAGGUGUGUUUGUCACUCAGGUGGAGAUCUCAGAUGUCACAGCUGUCCCCUUCCUUCUUCCUUUUGGGACCGGCUCCCACCCCACACGUGGGUCAGGUGCUCCUUUGGGUUCCUCUGCUUGCUCCCAGCUAUAGGUCACAGAGAUCCUAACAAAUUCUGGUGGAAAACCAAAAGGAAUCCAAGUUGGAUGUGCUUGAACUCUGCUGCCAUGCGAAGGGUCAGGGAUGCUUGCAGCUGGAGCCAUCGAGGCGUGGCAGCAAUUAAAAAGAAGCUCUCAUAUUUUCCUUUAUAAAGAGCAGUCCUUUGUGAGAUUGAAAUGAGAAGGUGCCAUCCCUGCCCCUGCCUUCCUCCCACUAACUUUAGCAGAGAGAGGAUUGACAUUAAACUGCAUUUUAUUGCAUGUCUGCCUCGAUGUGCGUCAGCCCCGGCACUCCUUUUGGGAUCCCCUUUAAUGUCAGAGCAGUGCAAGCUCCCCGUUGCUCAGAGUGCCAAGCUUUCUCACUCAGGAUGGUGCAGUCUGAGUUUGUCUUUGUGCUGUAGUGAAGCCCCAGCUCUCCUUGCUCACGGUGAGGAAGGAGCGAGGGGUGUUGAUGCUUUGGGUUGUGCAGCUAAGUGGCUGGAGCGUGGCUGUCUCCUCCCCUUCCUGAGCUUCAGCCCCAGCCAGCGCAGCUCUGGAAUGACAGGCAUUCCUGCGCCAGGGGAGCUGGCAUGGGCGCCUAUUUAUGAGAAUCAAGUGCCUGGGGAACGGGGAGCGGGACCCGCGUGGCCCACGGGCUGCCCUGUGGCUGCUUCUCCUCCGGCAGCUCCACUCGCGCCGUGUUGGACCCCCUUGGCGUGGGGUGACCCAUUUGGAGGACCCCGGUGCUCUCCCAGGGUUUGGAUUCCUUCCUCUCUCCUCCCGCCGCCUCCCGGAGAGCGGCUUCGGAAGGGAUCUCAUGGGGCAGCCGCGCUUCUCGAGACCGGUCCAUCCAGCUGCUGCGGGUGAGUAAUGGAGGGCGAGGGAACGGCGGAGACGUGGGGCAGGCAGGCAGGCUGCAGGUGGGACGGGGCGCUGGGAGAGGGGCAGCGCGGGGCUGGGAAGAGCCCGCAGCAAUAGCUCCGCUUCCUUCCGUUCUCUGCCCCAGCGCUGGGCUGCAGGCGGUGCUUUCGGGAUAGCUGAGCCCUCACCUGCACGGCUCAGGGUCUGCCCAGUGCUGGUGGGCAGCCCUUGGGGGGCAGCUGCAGCAGUGCUGGGGGGUAGAAGGGCCUCGACAGCCACCCGCCUGCUGCUGCUCUCUGCAUCCCGGAGUCUGAGUUUUAGGGAUGAGAUUUGGUGGACAGGGCUUGCUGACCGACGCCGGCUGCCUGUCAGCCUCCCCGGACGCAGCGCUGUGUGCUGCUCACUUCUGUUCCCAGGGCUGUGAUGCACAGAAACGAGGACGGUGCUGUCCGCUCGCACUGAGCUGCUGGCUCUCCUAAUGUGGAAUUUGCUGCUUUGGACUCAAACAGCCGACCCCAACCCAUGGGAUUCGUUUUGUCUAUUUCACUUCUGUAGCUCUGAACCUCCCAAGCUCUGUUAGGGCUCAGAGGAAACCGGUGGGCUUUUCUUUGCCCCCCCCGGGCUGCUCCGGCCACUCGUGUUCAAAAGCUGCUAAAAAUAAGUGGUGCUGAGGGAGAGUGGAAGGGAGAAAUAGGACUUCAGCCUCCACUGUACCGUCAGGAGCUGCCAACAGCAUCCCUGUGGGUCUGGGGGCUGUUAGGAGCCUCAUCUGCUCUUUCUCCCACUCCAAGCAUUGGUGACUCUCAGGGCAGGGGGCUCUCCUGGUGUAGGACUGUAGGUUGGGGGUUCUGCUGCUCCUUGUGGGCCGCCCAAAGCUGCUCCCCGUGGUGCUGCUCGCAGAGCUGCUGUGAGCACAAAGAGGUGGUUCUUGUGUUCCCUCUGGCAAGAUGCUGUCGGAAGGAAAGGUGUGCUGAGGAGUUGGGUGAUCAGCAGUGCCCCAACCCUGUGCUGCUGCACUGCCUGAGGCUGCUCUGUGACUGCGGCUGUCGUGCUUUAAGGCUGGGCUUCUCCUCUUCCCUGGGCCAUUCAGGCAGUGGACACAAAGCUUUUCAGGCAGCUCUCGGAAGCUAGCAGCGUUUAGCCAAAGAGCUUCUUUAUACUUCAGCCUUAACAGUAUUUCCAUCAGAAAUGUGUGCUGGGAUGGAUGGGGGCAGA